CCUACGGGAGGCUGCAGUGAGGAAUAUUGGUCAAUGGACGAGAGUCUGAACCAGCCAAGUAGCGUGAAGGAUGACCGCCCUAUGGGUUGUAAACUUCUUGAAGAUGGGAAUAAAAUGUUCCACGUGUGGGAUUUUGUAUGUACCAUAUGAAUAAGGAUCGGCUAACUCCGUGCAGGCAGCCGCGGUAAUACGGAGGAUCCGAGCGUUAUCCGGAUUUAUUGGGUUUAAAGGGAGCGUAGGUGGAUUGUUACGGCAGUUGUGAAAGUUUGCGGCUCAACCGUAAAAUUGCAGUUGAAACUGGCAGUCUUGAGUACAGUAGAGGUGUGCGGUAUUCGUGGUGUAGCGGUGAAAUGCUUAGAUAUCACGAAGAACUCCGAUUGCGAAGGCAGUUCACUGGACUGCAACUGACACUGAGGCUCGAAAGUGUGGGUAUCAAACAGGAUUAGAUACCCGAGUAGGC
rnacentral:rRNA from 1 species